CCGAUUCAGUAUUACCAGUAUAUAGAAUUGGGCCAACUACACGUCCGAAAAAACCAACGCUUAUGCGUAAAUCGGAGAACGCUGUGUACCACAACCAUUUGUUAUAUCUCUGUUUAAGAAGUUGAAGUACAUUGUCAAUGCAGUGGUUCAAGUGGCGGUGGAGAACAAGUUGUAUAAAGUAACCAGAAUACAGGAAGAGUAUUUACUCCCUCAAGUCAAGCCAUCCUUACCAUCACCUGACACAGGGCCAGAUUUUGUGCAAUAUGAAUGCGUCUUGGUUGUUUGGACUGCAGCUGACUACAUGCAAAAUUAUACGAAUCAUCAAGGAACCUCAGUGGACAAAGAACAUUGCAAAGUGAUAGAAUUUUAUUGCUGCAGCUUGAUUAUUUGGACAACAGCUGACUGAAGAAUUAUCCGGGAUCAUAAAGGACUCUGAAUGGACACAUAACAUUAACAGAAUUAUACGUAUAAUAUUUCCAUUCCUGAAUGAAUUCAAAAUCAACAUGUAUUGAUAAAAUAUACUUAGUAAAACAAUAAGAAUCAGUAGUACAUUUUUUAUUUAUACUAAACUAUUUGACACACAAGUUUUAUUUUAUUCAUAAAUUCCCGAAGAUAUGAACAUGUAGAACAUUGUACUUAAAAGUCACUCCAGAAAAAGUUAAUAAAAGAUUACGGUUAAAUAAACCGUUAUUAAUAUUUAAUAUACUGUUUAAUGCAUCCCAUGUACAUAUUUAUCUUGGUUGAUAUUGGCUCGUAGACUGCUGGUAUGUGGAUUUUAUCCUUUCUUUAGCCCUCUCGACAUAAAUACUUCCC